rnacentral:rRNA from 1 species
GGGUGAGGAACGCGUACACAACUUCCCUUCAACUGGGGCACAACCUUGAGAAAUCAGGGCUAAUUCCCCAUAACAUUACAGAGUGGCAUCAUUCCGUAAUUAAAGAUCAGUCGGUUGAAGAUGGGUGUGCGCCUGAUUAGCUAGUUGGUAGGGUAACGGCCUACCAAGGCAACGAUCAGUAGCUGGUGUGAGAGCACGACCAGCCACACGGGCACUGAGAUACGGGCCCGACUCCUACGGGAGGCGGCAGUAAGGAAUAUUGGUCAAUGGACGCAAGUCUGAACCAGCCAUGCCGCGUGAGGGAUGAAGGUCCUCUGGAUUGUAAACCUCUUUUAUCUGUGAAGAAACCCCCGAUUUCUAUCGGGGUUGACGGUAACAGAUGAAUAAGCACCGGCUAACUCCGUGCCAGCAGCCGCGGUAAUACGGAGGGUGCAAGCGUUAUCCGGAUUCACUGGGUUUAAAGGGUGCGUAGGUGGAUGGGUAAGUCAGUGGUGAAAUACUCUCGCUUAACGAGGGAACUGCCGUUGAUACUAUUCAUCUUGAAUGCGGUGGAGGUGGGCGGAAUGUGUCAUGUAGCGGUGAAAUGCUUAGAUAUGACACAGAACACCUAUUGCGAAGGCAGCUCACUACACCGUGAUUGACACUGAGGCACGAAAGCGUGGGGAUCAAACAGGAUUAGAUACCCUGGUAGUCCACGCCGUAAACUAUGAUUACUAGAUGUUGGCGUUUUUUCGUCAGCGUUUUAACGAAAGUAUUAAGUAAUCCACCUGGGGAGUACGAUCGCAAGAUUGAAACUCAAAGGAAUUGACGGGGGCCCGCACAAGCAGAGGAGUAUGUGGUUUAAUUCGAUGAUACGCGAGGAACCUUACCUGGGCUUGAACGUAUUAUGACAGGUGCCGAAAGGUACUCUCCCUUCGGGGCAUUUUACGAGGUGCUGUAUGGUUGUCGUCAGCUCGUGCCGUGAGGUGUCGGCUUAAGUGCCUUAACGAGCGCAACCCCUAUUUUUAGUUGCCAGCGAGUAAUGUCGGGGACUCUAAAGAAACUGCCUACGCAAGUAGUGAGGAAGGUGGGGAUGACGUCAAAUCAGCACGGCCCUUACGUCCAGGGCUACACACGUACUACAAUGGCCAUUACAGAAGGUCGCUACCUGGUGACAGGAUGCUAAUCUCGAAAAAUGGUCUCAGUUCGGAUUGAAGUCUGCAACUCGACUUCAUGAAGCUGGAUUUGCUAGUAAUCGCGCAUCAGCACGCCGCGGUGAAU